UUGGUUCGGGAUGGGCCCUGUGCUGGGCAGGUUGUCUCCGCGCUCGGCCUCUGGUGCCUGACCCAUCAGUGAGGAAGCCGUGGCGUGACGUGAUGAGCCUCGGUUUCUUCACCAUUAAAUGGGGGCUGAGGAAACCUCCCCCGCCGAGAUGUCACACAUGCCGGAUGAACCGCAACGCCCUGCACACAGCGGGUGCUGGGGCACCUGGAGGUCCCUCAGGACCUCCCAGCCCUAGGAGCCCAGCCUGGGACCCAGCCUUCCUGUGGGAAUCCGCCUGUCGCACGCCUGUCUCUGUAGUCGCCAGGAUGGACAUACCUUGGCCAGGCUUGGAGGAUGAGAAAAUUGGCUUCUCCUGAAUUUGGGGAAGGGCUAGAGAUGAGGGCGCUCCUCUCUGAGGAGCCCAGAAAGUCCCAAACAGCUGACCCCAGGGUCCCUGUUCUGUGGCCUCCUUGUGUGUGUCAGUGGUGGGGGGCUGCAGGGGCCCCCGAAUCUCCAUGGAGGGAAUUCCCAGUGUGGCUGGCCAGCCGGGGACUGGACGGGGGGCUCAGGAAGAGGUUCUAGCAAGAAGAGGCAGGUAACAGCCCACCUCUGGCUUCCCAGGGGCCUGUUUCUGGAAACUUCAGCUCCUGUGUGCCCACCCACAUCACACAAGGGAUGCUGGGGAAGGGACACUGGUGGCACUGCUUGGCAGGAGGAAGAGCUGGCUUUGUCUUGUCCAGACUGUUUUAAAACAAAAAAUGGUCCAUAAUGCAGUUUUAAAAGAAAAAAAGGAGCUGGUUAUGAAAUAGAAGGUAUAAGUGAAGUUUAUAUGUAUAUAGUGAAAAACUGACUGGACAGGCUGACAGGGCUGUGUCCUAAAUUAUAGGCUUGAAGCUGGAGUUUUCUUUUCUCCUUUGUGCCUGUCAAACUUCUUGGCAGUGAACUUGAUUUGCUUUUAUCAUCAGAAUAGCAGCAGUAAACACCACCAUCUUUAAACAACAGUACAUGAAGCCUGCGGUCUAGGCUCCAGCUGUGAGCAGAGGGCCACUGAGGGCGACUUCAGCGCUCCCCCUGCUCCCCAUGGAUGGUGACCCGCAGGCAGGGCUGAGGCCAGGGCCACCCCUUGGGAACGGUGAGAGCUGGUUUCGUGUCCCUCAGGCCACGGUGGACGCCUCCUCCCCUCUUGCCUGAGGGGUCAGAUCCAGACCUCUUCCAUCCCCCAGUCCUGAGGGCUCCUGAGGUCCUGCCAGCCACCUUGCUGGCCCACUGGCGUAACUGUGGCUUUGUCCCACCCCCACCAGGGGGCCCACUCCCCGCCUGCCGGGAACUGGGCCAGGCGGGCGGACGGACGCGGUGACAAGCAGCUGUGACGUCUCCCCACUUCCUUCUACCUUCCCUGCUGCUGAGUCAGGGUCCCUUUGGGGACAGAAGGCGGGAUGUGGCAGGACGCUGGGCAGCCCCCAAGGACUAGGCAGGCUUCAAAGAGAGGAAGGAAGCUUCGAGGAAAAUCAGCGAAUAAGCAGAGACGGUCUGUGUCCCCAUGUGUCCCCGUGUCCCUGUCCUGGGCUUGGUUCUUUGCAGGGUCUCCUCUGGGACUGCGGCCACAAAGCCUGGCAGGCACCCCAGAUGGUCUCGUCUCAGAAGUACAGUCUCUUGACCCUUAGCAGAUCCCUCUGUUUGCUUGUGCCCUGACCCAAGCUCCUCGCAGCAGCUGUGACGUGACAGAUGACACUGGGAGCUGGCAGACACCGCGAGGUGGCACCUGAAGACCUCUGCUUAAUCUCACUGCCCGCAGAUGAGUCACGAUGGUGGUGAGAGUCCCAGUGGGCACAGGACACAUGUGCAGAGAUCUGGAGCCUGCGCUCAGCACCAGGCGUCGAGCAGCCGCAAGCCUCACCCGCAUCCCUGUCAGAGCGGAGCGGCAGGAGCGGCCGGAAUGGGCUGAUUUUCCAGCCGCUACUCAUCAAGGGUGGAGGCAGCCGGGCUGGAGCAGGAUGAAAACACGCUGGUGAUGGGUUCUCAGGUGCUGACGGGCGCGCGCGCUUGGGGAUUGCAUGACUCGGUGCCACCUCGACUGCUGGGUUUGCGGGGGCAUUAAAUGCACUUCUGCGCUGGAAUCCCUUGCGCCCUCUGAGGACGCAGUGGCAGCUGUUGCUCCUCCCCGGUCAGGGAGUGGGCACUGGGCACUGGGCACAGGCCGCUUAGUUUAAUGAGCUCAUGCUGUGCACAAACACAGGCAAAACUCACCAAGAACAGAGGUAAGUGGGGACAUGUGAAGCCUUGUGUCUGAAACCAGGGAGAUUCCAUGAAAUUUUUAUUAGAAUUGCCAAUCCUAGGCACCAGAGCCCUUAAAUCAAUUAGCUAACGAUUCCUGAAAUGCUUAAAAGAAGACAAAGGAACUGGACACUCCAUCUAGGAAUGCUGUGUAACAUGGCAGCCUUUGAAGGAAGCUGGCCUGGAGCAGCCUGCAGGCUGGGUCAGGCUCAAGCCCCGGGUCGGGAGGGGCUUUCAUGUCUAUGCUUUUUCCUCUUGGUGACUUGUUGCUGGCAGCUCCUGCUGAAGUCCUGAGGACGGGAGCCCCUUCUUCUCAUCCCCAAGGACAGACCCUGCUGGGGUGGCCCUCAGCCAGGCAGACACAGCUGCAACCCUGCCUGGUGCUGGUGUGGCACUGGCCAGGCAUUUAGUGGUGCACGGUGUCGGUCAUCAGCAAUGUGGUGCCGGGGAGGCCAUGGGGACUCAGACACACUCUGCUGUCAGGGAGCUCAGGGUUAAGGCGGCAGUGCCGUGGGGAGGGGCCAGGGCUGGAAUGGGCACCCAGAGGAGGCCUCACUGUACGCCCUGCGUCCCUGAGAGGCUAGAGCUGGCAAAGGAGAAGGAAGCGGCUGUCCUGUUACAGCACCUGUCCAGCCCGGACUCCGAGCUCACAGACACCCUGGAACUCCCAGAGAUGCAGGGGAUGGAGCCGAGGGACUGUGACAAGGGCUGAACCCAUUUCCUUGGGACUGGGUGGCCAGUGAGCCCUUCCCUGACCCUCAUGCCUCCUGCGGUCAAGGGGGGCUCCUACAUCAGCUUCCUCCCUGGCAGGGAGCCCAGAAGAAGCCCUCUGUGCCCUAAACUCUCCUUUCUUGUUCAAUUGGCAUAAUGCUCUGCCCAGACCAGCUUUGUGCCUUCUGCACCCAGUGCUGGAGACUGCACUGCCCUCUGGCCAAAAAGCCUAACCACCCAAACAGAGAAACAAAGCUCUGGUGCAAAGAGAGCCUGGGCAGCCUUCCUGUGGAGCUGGCUCUUGGGGAGUGAGGUGGGUCCGUCCCCAGGAGAGGGGUCCUCCUCAGGACUCUACCUUCCUGGCCUGAGGCCCAGCGCUGUGUCUGUUGGGUGGGUGGAGCCCACGGAGAACUUACCCUGCACGCACAAACACACAUGUGCUCAGGGAUGUAGGACAAGGGCAGUCAUUUCGGCACUGUUUGCUUUAGAAAAGAUUAGAAAUAACCUGCUUGUCCAAUAGUGGGGGAUGGAUAAUUCUGGGCACCUGCUCAGAGCCCUUAAAAAGGAGAGGUUUCUUGGGGUGUGCUCACAGGAUGAGGGCAGGUCCUGCACCCCAAAGUGGGCCCUUUGCCCAUCCCCCAGAGGCAGCUACAAACGCCCGGGUGGGCAGCCUGUAUCCCUCAGAGCCCUGCCCCAGGCUGGCUCAGGACCCUCCUUGCAUUGCUCCAUUCCUGGCCUGGCACUGGAGCUGGGGCUCAGGAGUGAGGUGAAGAGGGAAGAUUCGAGAGCCAGUGGGCCUGCCAACCCCAGCUGUACGGCCUCGAGUGACCCACUCACCCCAGUUUCCAACCCAUCUGUAAAAUGGGGACAAUUUGCCUACCUCACAGGUGAGACGAGCAGCUGGUACACAGAGCAGGUGUUCAGUAAAGGUGAAGGCGACUUAAGCUUUGUCCAGGGGGAAGUACAGGGGUGCAGACCAGAGGCAGGGCUGGGUGGCAGAGGCGCCCUGCGCUGUCUGCAGGGAGGCGCAGUGGCUCAGCUGUGGCAGCCUGCUACCUGCCGUGUGCUUGUUAGGGGCACAACCCAGCUCCCCGCCGCCCCCACAGCAGCCAGGGUGCAGUUGAGGGAAAGUUCCCGCCACGGUUUCCUGACAGCGGUGACAGCCCCAGCCUCACCCCCGCCUGCCCUGAGAGUCACCAGCACCACCGGGUGCGGCGACCUCAGCUCACUGCCGGCUGCUGGGGGCUCAGUGUGCUCACAGAGGGUAUGAUCUGGGGGAGCGUCUGUGGGAGCAGGUGGAUGGUGGGGAGGGCGUCCCACUCAGCAGGCCCGGGACCCUGCCCUGCCCACAACCCUCCGGGUGCCUGACGACCUCGUGGCUCCCCGCAGACCCUCAGCUGGCUCCAGACUGAGCCUCCGGCUUCCCAGGAAAGAGCCGUGAGGAAGACUACCACGUCCCUGUUUUUGAGAUGAGGAAGCAGCCAGAGGAAGCAGCCAGGACAAGGGCCUGGCUGAGGCUGCCCAGCUGGGAAGAGGCCAAGGCCCAGUCUCCAACACUCGCCUUCCUGCCUCCCCUUGCUAGCAGGGCACUGGGCCUCAGGGGUGGGCAGAGCCCCCAGUGGCAGCAGGUGCUCACAGCCAGGGCAGUCAGGGGGGGCUUCCAGAGGGGAGCUUGGGACCUGGGGGUGAGGCAGGAGGGCAGGUAGGUCUUCUGGUGGAGGAGAAAGCAUGUGCAAAGGCCAGGCAGUGUGGACAAGGGUGGAUUAGCCAGUGGUUAGAGUGAGGGUGCAAAUGGAGAGAGCCAGGAGUCAGGGCUCCACUCAGGAGGUGGGAGUGGGAGACGAGGCCUGUGGAGUCAGAUGGGGCUGGGGACCCCUCAGUGUGCAGGGAGACAGCCUUGGCUGGGUCUGUUCCAGACAGUGUCAAGGCCUGGCUGGGUCCCCAGCGGCCCGGGCCCAGUCCCAGCUAGAAUGGGCUGGUCUCAAGGGCUCAGGAUCCCAGGGCAGGGGCAGGAACCUCUGGGCAAGAGGCGCUCGAUUGGUUCUUCCAGCUGAGAGAAGCCAAAUUCCCUGGGACCAGGCUCCAGAUGCCUGGGUUGGGACCUGCAGGGACUUUGGGUCCUCACACUAUCUUCCCGAAACACCUUAUUUAUGCUAAAGUGUCAAUGACUCAAAUGCAAUGUACUGGUAUGCAGUGCUGGCUGUUGGAAGACUCUGAGGUAUGUGUGAAAGCAACGGCCAUUGUGUUGUUUUUAUAAAGAUGACACUCGCUCCUUCUCAAGCAAAACAGGACAAGGGAUGCAGAAAAGUACAAAGAAGGGAGCAACCCCCCACCCCACCCCCACCCACUCCCCUUUACAAUACCUGCUUCCUGAGGGCAGGACUUUCUUCUACUCUGUUCUCUGCUGUAUUCCCAGCACCUGGGACUUCCUGGCACAGAGCAGAUGCUUAACAGAGACCACCAUCCAAUGUUAACAUCUGGUGCAAGUCAUCUGUACACAGAGAACUUCGGAGAGAUGAAGAGCUAUGGAGAGAAAGUUCACCGUGACAUCCACGUUUCUCUCCAUGCUAUUAGUUUGCUCCUGGAGACACGGUGGCUGGGUGUUGGGUACGCAGCGGUCCUGCCUGGUCCUCCCUGUGCCGCCUCCCCCCUGCAAGCCCUCCGCAUCUCCUCCUGUCACUCUGGGAUGGUCUCUUCUGUGUGCCUUUUUAUGUCAUAUUCACACGAGCUCUUCUCUGUCCUGAAGCGGCAAGUUUCCAGGAAGCUGCCUUCGAUCCUGGCUCCUGUCCGCAUUUGGCUCGGGCCCUCAUGGGACUUCCUUCCGGCUCCCAGCCCUCAACAGGCCACCAGCCCUCGUCAGUUCUUCCCAGCUCGCCUGAUUACCUCGGGUGGCACCUGCACUCAGACCUUCUACCCAUUCGGGUGCAGGAACCAGUCGGCCUCCCCUCAGAAGUUCAGUUUGAGGCCCGAGGCGGCCUGAUGCGUGAGGAGGGGGCCCCGGGGACCAUUGCUGUGGAGACCGUCUGUCUGCCUCGUGUUUGUUGGGUGGUUCUUUCCAUCGACAGCCCGACGUUGUGCGUCAUUUCGUCAGGUACUGGGGGAAGGGGCCUGUGCCCUCCCUCACUCUGCUUUCUAAAAUCUGAACCCCUCUCCUAGGCAGCCUCUCUGAGCUGCAAAUCCCCUGGUCCUGCCCGUCCAGACGCCCAGAGAGGCUCCGUUUCUGUGGGCCUGGGUGGGACUUCCCCCUCCCCACCCAGAGCCGCGUGGGUGUCCAGGCCUGGGGGUGAGAGCUGCCGAGCCAUUCGCCAGGGCCCUGCGCGUUCCGGCCAAAUCACAGGGAUGGGUCUCCAAUUAUGUAAAAUCAUGUGGCACUGAGCACUGCAGCUCUGGAAUGUCUGAGUGGGUGGGCAAACCGGAUCAUUCAUGGUAUCGGAGAGGCCUCUGUGGCCAGGAGAGGGGAGGGAAGUGACUUGCCUGAGGUCACACAGCCAGUCAACAACAGACAAGUUCGAAGAACUGGAAACACCAGUCCCAGAUCUGGGGCCUGGGCAUUGGGGUAGCCCCCUCAGAGGGCAGGAAGACCUUUGUCUUUGGCAUGAGGAGCCCCUUGCCCACCUCUGGGCCUUGCACAAGAAAUGGUUGUGGCCCUGCCCCUGAACUUUGGUUGGGAGCUUCUGUGGGGUUGGAGGCUAUCCCGGGAGGCACAUACCAAGUCAGCCCUCUCAGGAGAGUGACCCUGCGUCCCCUCGUGGUGUCCCCACCCCAUUCACCCACUGCCCUGGGAGCCAUGCUCUCGGCAUGAGCCCAGGGCUUGGUAACAACCUCAGGCCAGGAGGCAGGCUGAGCAGUCCUGGGGAGGAAGGUAGAGAAUCUGGAAUUAGGGCCAGAGAGGGGUGGAUCAGGCCUGAGAGGGUCCCCCAUCUGCCUGGGGAGGGGUGGCCGGAGUCGGGACAUGACCGGCAGUACAGCUUGACCGUCUCACCGAGAUGCUUGGGGUGUCCUGGGUGUUGUCGCCCAUCCAGCCUGGUGAUAUCAGGCAGCCUGGGAAUCCAGGGUCCACGCCUUCCUUCCUCCACGGCCCUCCUGGCUCAGCUGCCACAGGAAAAUCGCAGGACUCUGUGCACAGGGCUGUGGUGAGGGUUCAUGCCUGUAAAAGCACACAGGAAGCAGAGGCUCUCAGGAAUGGAGCUGCUAAGCCCAAAAUAGACCCAUUCCAUGAGGUUACAAGGAACGUCUCACUGGAGUCUCACCAGUCACCAUAAAGCUGCGAUUUAAUUUCUCUCUGCGACAUUCUGAUCCUUCCCUGCUAACCCCCCAUCCCAUGCCAUCCUGGAGUCCCUGCUAAAGUUCAAUUCCAGCCCUCUUACCAGAA